CAUUGUUAUACUAUUGAUAUUUUACGAAUAAGACAUAGUAAAAAAAAUACAAGUAAAUGAUGUGAAUACUCAGUAUAUGAUACCUCUUAAGGAUACUUUGGAAUACAUUAAAUAUAUAUGAUCAUAUCAAAAAUAAAUUUAAUUAAAUAACUUCCAUAAAUCCUCCCCAUCUGUCGACAAAUGACUCGUAUUUGUCUUUAGAAAGAUAUAAAUAUUCUAAUAUCUCCAGCCUUCUUUUCAAAAAUUUAAGAAACGCUUGCACAGAUAUUAACAGUCUGUCUAAUUGUGUGUUCUUAGCACAGUUGAUGUAAUACUUUGCCUGUAGAAUACAACAAUUUAAAACUAUGUUAUCAGAAUUUAAUACACCAAAAAUUACACUGUCUUUAUUUAAAAAUAUUUUUACUCCAAAUACUAAAUACCACCAAU
rnacentral:lncRNA from 1 species